rnacentral:misc_RNA from 1 species
AACUGAUCGGAAGCCAUUUUUGUUCGCCAGACGUUUGAUUUACGGUGAUAUCCUGACUCCGACUGCUGCAACAUUCCUUUAGUCGUAAUUUUUAAUUGAGAAAUUCAAAAAUAUAAUAAAGGGAAAAAAUGGCUGAUGAUUUCGACGUAGAAGCGAUGCUUGAGGCUCCUUACAAAAAAGAGUGUGACAAACUAAGAGUCUACUCUGAAUAUUGUCGCCCUCAGAUCGUUUACAAAGACCAUAUUGUGGGCAGCAGGCGAAAGGUACCAACAUUUUGUGCGUAAAUUUUAUAUAAUAUAAAAAGAAAAAACUUGUAUUUAAAUAAUUAAACAAAAAGAUUGCAAUUAUAUGGUAAUACUAAUCUAUACAGUAGUCAAGAAGAGGAUGAAUGUAAAACGAUCGUGAUGAGGUAAUGAUCAAUCCGGGGCCUGCCGCCAUUUUGCGCCUUUUUUAAUAGAUUUCUUUAUUAUUUAUUUUAUAUAUGUAAACAAAUCUUUGUUUACUAUCUUUACUAAAAUGUGUUGUUCAAUUUGGCGGCCACGCCCGAAACUUUCGGCAUGUGUUGCUGAUCUACGUGAACCGUUUAAUACGAAAUGCAGGAAUCGAAUGGGCAUAGAGCUUCUAGCAGAGAUCGCGACAGGGACAGAGAUCGUGAACGAGAAAGAGACAGGGACCGAACUAAGAGAAAAAGCAGAAGUCGAAGCAAAGAUCGUAAGAGAAGGUCUAGAAGUAAAGACCGACAUCGAGAAAAAGGCAGAGAAAGAGAACGAGAAAAGGAUAGAGACAGACGAAGACGUUCAAGGAGUCGAGAGAAGAGAAGGUCACCCCGUCGUAGAUCGCCACCUCGUGAGAGACCCAGAAAUUAUGAAUAUUCCCCAGAAGAACGUGAUGCUAGAACUGUAUUUUGUAUGCAACUCUCUCAGAGAAUUCGCCCAAGAGACUUAGAAGAAUUUUUCAGCUCUGUUGGGAGAGUUUACGAUGUUCGCCUAAUUGCUGAUGGCAGGACCGGACGAUCAAAAGGUAUCGCUUACGUCGAAUUUGAGGAAACCAGUUCUGUGAAUUUAGCCUUAGGUUUGAAUGGUCAAAAGCUACUUGGUGUUCCAAUAAUUGUUCAAGUCUCUCAAGCUGAGAAAAAUAGAGCUGCUCAACAAGCUGCACAAAUUGAGGCAGAAACUGCACGAGCGUCACAGGGCCCAAUGAGACUGUAUGUUGGAUCUUUGCAUUUCAAUAUAACAGAAGAUAUGCUAAGAGGAAUUUUUGAACCCUUUGGCAAAAUUGAACACAUAAACCUAGUAUUGGAUCCAGAAACAAGUCGAUCAAAAGGGUUCGGUUUCGUUACAUUUAUUAGAAGUGAAGAUGCUAAAAAGGCAAUGGAGCAGCUGAACGGCUUUGAAAUUGCUGGGCGACCUAUGAAAGUAAAUCAUGUAACUGAAAAAAUGGAUGGUAUUGGUAGCAUGAUUGAUACAGAUGAAAUGGAUAGGGCAGGUAUAGAUUUAGGGGCAACUGGUAGACUUCAGCUUAUGGCCAAACUAGCUGAGGGAACAGGUUUUCAAUUACCAAAGCCUGCUGCCUCAGCGCUUAGUGUUCAGCGUAUUUUACGUCCGCAGGAACAACAUCAACAAGCCCUACAGCAGGCUGUCACAACCCCGCCGAUAGCGACACAAUGUUUUAUGUUAUCAAACAUGUUUGAUACUAAUUCUGAUAAAAGUGGAGACUGGGAAACAGAAAUAAAAGAUGAUGUCAUUACUGAGUGUAACAAGCAUGGCGGAUGUGUUCACGUCUAUGUUGAUAAAGCUAGUCCACAAGGAAAUGUUUACGUGAAAUGUCCUUCAAUAGCAAGCGCUGUUGCUAGUGUGAAUGCUCUACACGGCCGUUGGUUUGGAGGAAGAAUGGUUACCGCCGCUUAUGUCCCACUGCCGAAUUAUACACAACUAUUUCCUCAUACACAUAGAGCAAUGGUUUUGCUGAUGCCGUCAACAAGUAAACAAACAGCAGCGCAAGCGGGACUUAUGCAUCCGGCAUUUUUAAAGUGA